UACGUAGGGUGCGAGCGUUAAUCGGAAUUACUGGGCGUAAAGCGUGCGCAGGCGGUUUUGUAAGCCAGAUGUGAAAUCCCCGGGCUUAACCUGGGAAUGGCAUUUGGGACUGCAGGGCUGGAGUGUGGCAGAGGAGACUGGAAUUCCCGGUGUAGCAGUGAAAUGCGUAGAUAUCGGGAGGAAUACCGAUGGCGAAGGCAGGUCUCUGGGCUGACACUGACGCUCAUGCACGAAAGCGUGGGGAGCAAACAGG
rnacentral:rRNA from 1 species